CUGGUGGCUGACCUCAGGGAAGCCAUCCUGCGCGUGGCACGCCACUUCCAGUGCACAGACCCCAAAAACUGCAGUGUGGAGCUGACUCCAGACUAUAGCAUGGAGAGCCACCAGCGGGACCACGAGAACUACGUGGCGUGUUCACGCAGCCACCGGCGCCGAGCCAAGGCCCUGCUGGACUUUGAGCGGCACGACGAUGACGAGCUGGGCUUCCGCAAGAACGACAUCAUCACAGUGCGUGGGGCGCUGGACUACCAGGUCCUCAGGCUGUGGCGGGUUCCCCAGCCUCCCUCCACCAAGCCCCACCCCAACCCCUUUCCCUGUCAAGAGCUUCUCUUGUGAAGAUGUAGGGGGUCUUGGACUGGCC
rnacentral:sRNA from 1 species